GAUGAACGCUAGCGGCAGGCUUAAUACAUGCAAGUCGAACGGUAAGGUCUCUUCGGAGAUACACGAGUGGCGCACGGGUGCGUAACGCGUAUGCAACCUACCUUUAACUGGGAAAUAGCCCCGAGAAAUCGGGAUUAAUGUCCCAUAUUAUUUUCUGAAUGCAUAUUUGGAAAAUGAAAGCUCCGGCGGUUAAAGAUGGGCAUGCGUGACAUUAGCUAGUUGGUGAGGUAACGGCCCACCAAGGCGACGAUGUCUAGGGGUCCUGAGAGGGUUAACCCCCACACUGGUACUGAGACACGGACCAGACUCCUACGGGAGGCAGCAGUAAGGAAUAUUGGGCAAUGGACGCAAGUCUGACCCAGCCAUGCCGCGUGAAGGAUGAAUGUCCUAUGGAUUGUAAACUUCUUUUGUGCAAGAAAAACCCCUCGGUUUCGUACCGGGGCUGAUUGUAUUGCACGAAUAAGCAUCGGCUAACUCCGUGCCAGCCGCCGCAGUAACAC
rnacentral:rRNA from 1 species